rnacentral:lncRNA from 1 species
CAUGCCCUAUUACUUAGUUGAUUGCAUGAUAAUGUUUACUUUUCUUAUGUUAGAUUAUGUCUGGUGGAGCCACUAAAGAAGAUGAGCAAAGUUGCCAGUAAAUAGAAGAGAAGGGCAAUUGGUUAUUGCUAGAACUCCUAAGUAGCAGUAUGUUGAAAGCUCUACUGAAACGAGGAAGAGGUCUAGGUAGGACAUACUAUCUAAGGA